GGAAAGAGAAGGAAACCAGGUCUUGCAUAAGACAUGGUUUUACACAACAUCUAAACAUCAUGUGAGAUAAGUAACAUUAAAUUUAAGUAUGGAAUAGUGGUGUUUGCAUUAAAAUAGUAGUGUCUAGUACUAGUUUCUUGAUGAUGUGUGGAGUUUAUAGAAACUAUGUCUAGUGUCUUGGGUUGGGACUGAC
rnacentral:misc_RNA from 1 species